UACAGAAAAUGCAAACGUUGCUCGGAAUCAUUGAACGUAAAGCGCACGUAGGCGGUUUGUUAUGUCGGAUGUGAAAGCCCUUGGCUCAACUGAAGAAGUGCAUCCGAAACUGGCAAGCUAGAGUACUAAAGAGGGUCGCGGAAUUCCCGAUGUAGAAGUGAAAUUCGUAGAUAUCGGGAAGAACACCGGUGGCGAAGGCGACGACCUGGGUAGAUACUGACGCUGAGGUGCGAAAGCGUGGAGAGCAAACAGG
rnacentral:rRNA from 1 species